rnacentral:rRNA from 1 species
UACAGAGGGGGCAAGCGUUGUUCGGAAUUACUGGGCGUAAAGGGCUCGUAGGUGGCCAACUAAGUCAGACGUGAAAUCCCUCGGCUUAACCGGGGAACUGCGUCUGAUACUGGACGGCUUGAGUUUGGGAGAGGGACGCGGAAUUCCAGGUGUAGCGGUGAAAUGCGUAGAUAUCUGGAGGAACACCGGUGGCGAAGGCGGCGUCCUGGACCAACACUGACACUGAGGAGCGAAAGCCAGGGGAGCAAACGGG